ensembl:lncRNA
AUGGAUUUGUUGCUGGUUGCCUUUUUUCAAGCUCAGUAGGAGGAUAUGAAGUGCACUGACUGAUAUGUAACUCUUCCGGUGAAACGAAUCAAGAAGCGGAGAUCAAAGCUGCUGAUUUUACUCCACAUGCAGAGUGUUAUUCUCAGAAGCUGAAGACAAUACAAUCAGGAGUCUUCACCCAGGUCUGCUGAGAUCCACGCUAAGAAAUCCAAAGAUUUUAAGACUAAAGUCACACCAAAGGAUGAAGUAAACACUGUCCCUAUCUGCUGGCAAUAUUAUGCUCUCAGCUGCUGUUAUCAUUUUGAAAUAAUCCCCAUCUGAGUGGAAGAGAAUACCUUCUGCUGCACCUCAGCAUGAAUGCUGUCCUCUUGUUCUUCCAUGCGAUGCAUAUCACAGAGGAGGAGGCUCAAGGAGCUCACUGCAUAUGUUCUGCCAUCUUACCAAGUUCAGAAAUUGCCUUCAGAGCAGUCCUGUAUGGUCACAAAUCUGUACUCGGUUAAAAGAUUGUUGUGACAUUCUUAUUAGAAAUCGCUGCAGCAACAGCUUGCCAAAUGAACCGUUAAAAGCAAACCAGAUUCACUGAACCACAAUAAAAUUCAUUAAAGCUUGCUUUGGGCAACAUAUGGUCUUUGAAGGUCUUUAUCUUUUUAACCAUUCAUUUCUUCCAGUGUCUGUGGCAAAGCCUUCCACUUCUCUUCUUAUUUGAAUGUAAAUACUAACUUCUAAUAAUACACAUUCCUCUCAGUGACAUGAUCAUUUGGUGUUGUGUCACUGUUAAAUUAGUCUAUAGACAUACAUA